UGUAUCUGUUGAUAAUUACGAAGAUAGUACUGCUGCUGAUAAUGAUUUUUAGGCGUGUGGUGGUCAUGUGCGAUUUAAGUAUUUAACGUACAUGUAUUCGUAUUCUUAUAGAUAGCUUAUUUCAUUUCACUCUACAUUGUAUCACAGCCGCGCUCUGGUUAUAUGGUGCUUAAUGUAUGUGAUUAUAGCUAGCUGAUUUCAUUUCACUUAACAUUGUAUUAUAGCCGCGCUCUGGUUAUAUGGUGCUUAAUGUAUGUGAUUAUCGCUAGCUAUUUCAUUUCAUGCUACAUUGUAUUAUAGCCGCGCUCUGGUAAUAUGGUGCUUAAUGUAUGUGAUUAUAGCUAGCUGAUUUCAUUUCACUCUACAUUGUAUUAUAGCCGCGCUCUGGUAAUAUGGUGCUAAAUGCAUUUUUGAAAAGUUUCGUCCCAGAUUAUAUUGUUUAGUCUGCACAGGCUAAUCGAGUGCGAUUCUUUUCGAUUGUAUUUUGUUUUUCGUUUGAAAAAAGUCUCUUUUUUUAAAAAAACAUUUUGGGCGUAAAGCGUCGUUCCUAAAAUGAUGUUAAAAUACAUAAUACGAAGCCUAAGGAAGUGCAUUUUCUUGUAAUCCAUUUUGGGCGUAAAGCGUUGUCCAUGUAAUAAUGCUAUAAUUAAUAAUACGGGCAAAAGCCCGCCGCUCAUCUAUCUAGACACGUUAAGCAUCAUAAACACUUCGACAAAUGCUAUAAUUCGUGUAUAUACAUACCUCCAGAAAUAAUAUGCUAAUGACUUCAAUAUUUUGUGGCCAAUAUCACUCAAUAUUUUCGCAUUUUAUUUUUGUUUUCUCUGCUAAAAGUUAGUUUUAAUUUCACGUCGUUUUGUUGUGCUUCCUGUUUCCGUUUUCCGGCCUUAAGGGCAAUAGCCUAGACUGGUUCAUAUCGAGGCGUGAUCACUUAUUCCAAAUACAACUUUAAUGAACAUUGUCUGUCUAAAAUGUAUUUCCUAAAUCCCGAGGUGUUUUAAAUUUAUUUGCUUCGAUCAUCAAUUUCAAUCAGAAAAAAUGUCACUUAUUUCAAUUAAAAACUACUGCGUUUUAAACAUUUGCAUCACCUUUGAGUUCGAAGGCGAUGGGAAAACAAUCAACAUGAACCUUACUGAACACUGUGUUCAAAUGUAUUCUAUGUGCCCGUUUAAUGCCGUAGGCGUCACCAGGUACCGUGUUUUAAGAGGCUAUACGAAUAACGAUUACAACAUUGUUGUUACAUGACCGCUUUCAAGGUCGUAUUUUCUUGUCAUUUCGAGCUCCGUUAUAUGUCCGGUUAUCUGUGCUAUCUACACAAAUGAAAUAUUUUUAGAUUAUUUUGAUGUGUUUUCUUCAUGUUGGGGUGGUGAUAUUUACUGGACUAAAAUCUGAAUGUACAAAAUGCUAGUUGUUUUCAAUAUAAUUGUCAUACGCAGACAUUAAAAAAAAUUCUUAUGGUGUAACACAAAUCUUAAUAUAUAUCUUACGUCAAUAUGUUUGCUGUACCAUGGACGUUAACGUUUUGACCAGUUAGAACGGCGACUAAAGCAUAGUUCAAUGUGUGCCUAGUCUACCAGACAACUGAAGGUAAUAUGUAUUUAAGAGCAGGUUCCUGUCUAAUCAAAUAUCUUACGAGAAGAACAAGUAACAACCGAAUUAUAAAGAAUUUAAAAAUGAGCCGCGCUCUGUAAAAACAGGGCUUAAUGCACGGGCAUAAAGUGCCGACUCAUAUUAGCCUGUAGUCUGUACAGUCCGCAAAGGCUAAUCAUGAACGACAGCUUCCGCAUAGAAAGUUUUUUUACUUAUAGAAGAGACUUAUUUUAAACAAAAAAAAUCCAUAAAAGCGGAAAGUGUCGUUCCUGGGGGCCGUUUCAUCAAUAAUUACGUAUUUUUAUACGAUCGUAAAUUAUGUAUCGAGAUUAAUGUAGUCGUUUACGAUUUUACAUAAACUCCGUUUCAUCAACGAAAUCGUAAAUGCAACUUACAUAAAAUACGACUACUUAAAUAUACGUAUUUUGUAACCGAAAAAAAUAGUGACACAGUCUGAAAAAUUGCAUGACGUAAUUUUCGCGCGUUCUGUCAGCUGAGGAAAACAUCGCACAAAAACAAACUCCUAUAAAUAUGCGGUCGAUUUACGUCUAAUUAUUUGGACUAACAAAAACAAUGCUAGUUGUAAAUCGAAACAAAAACAAACAUUGGAAAACGACGUGUAGACCGGUGUGGAAGGCUACCGAUUGCUGUUUGGCCGACACUCUCCUUCCGUUACUAAACGCAAAAAGAAGUUAUUUUGGAUGGAGACGGUUUGAAAUAAAACAAAUGUUAUUACUGGCUGAAGGACCAAAAUUGAAUGGACAGAGAACACGGUUGUCAAAACUCAAACAGAAGUUGACACUCAGCUACGUUAAAACAUAAAACUGAAGGCAGAAGCAACAAAUACAACAUGUGAAGAAUGAAGCAACAGUUUAACUACAACUCGGGGAGAUGUUGAUGGCGUCAAGGGAAAGAUAUGCCAUUCAGAGGGGCAUAAGCAAUACAUGUUAUCAUGAGGAACUGGUUUCUCUUUAAAAAAAAAUUUUAUUUUAAAAUGCUCAAUUGUUUCUUGAACUUUUAAUUGACUUUACAUGUGAUGGUGUUCAGUGAGUCUAUGAAACUUAUUAUUACACAUACUAUCAUGUAAGAUAUAAAUUGUCAUAUGAAUUAUAAUACCAUGCCCAGUUAAUAUAUUGUACUUCCUGAUUAAUAAUAAAUAUUUG